rnacentral:lncRNA from 1 species
AACGCGACUCAGAAGGAAGAAAGGAGGCGAGAACGGAGCAGCGGCGAGGUUCGCCGGAAUCGGGGUCACGACGGCCGUGAACCCGACGACGAGAAACUCGUGAAAUGUCGCUCACCUAGGGGAGAUCUCGUCCAACCGAGGGGUGGAGAAGAUGGAGGAGCUCGAGGCAGACUUGGAGACGCUCAGAGGCGAGGGCGCAAGAAGCUCGAGAAGCUCGCGAAGCUCACGGCGGCAAUGGCGACGGCGCUUUCGCGUGGCGGAGCGCGAGAGAGAGGCAGCGA